GGUUCGGGAAGGCAACCAAAGUUCGCCGCGUCCUGCGGCAAAGGUUGCAUACCUGCAUCCAGCAGG
rnacentral:sRNA from 1 species